GCCUACGGGGGGCAGCAGUGAGGAAUAUUGGUCAAUGGGCGGGAGCCUGAACCAGCCAAGUCGCGUGAGGGAAGACGGUCCUACGGAUUGUAAACCUCUUUUGCCGGGGAGCAACGGGGUCCUUGCGAGGUCCCAAUGAGAGUACCCGGAGAAAAAGCAUCGGCUAACUCCGUGCCAGCAGCCGCGGUAAUACGGAGGAUGCGAGCGUUAUCCGGAUUUAUUGGGUUUAAAGGGUGCGUAGGCGGUUUGAUAAGUUAGAGGUGAAAUGUCGGGGCUCAACCCCGAAACUGCCUCUAA
rnacentral:rRNA from 1 species